rnacentral:lncRNA from 1 species
CUACCAAUGGGCAAAUCGAGCAGAGGUAUCGAUAAUCUUGGCUACUCCUUCCCAAAGGGUAGAUCGAGUUGAAGCCACAUCAACUCUGAUUUCUACCGAUAGACAUGUCGAGUGAAGGUAUCGAUGAUUUUGGCUAGGAGGUAUCAACAUUCUUUAACCCUGAACGUAGGCCCAUGUACAACCAUCUUGGACAAGCUCACGAAUAAGCUAGAAACAUCGGAUCGAUGCAACCAAGGAACAUUUUAUUCAGAAAGCUUAAAACAUUACUGUUUCAGCAAACCAAAGGCC